GGCUCUGUGAACUAAGUGACUGAAGCUGAUUGACACAGGUCAAGGGGACUUCAAGGAAGAAAGCCAGCCUUAGACUGACAUCAGAGAACCAAACUCCGGUGUCUAAGCUCAAGAGGUUAGAAUCCUGAGAACUGUUUGGAAUAAGGAAUCCAAAUAUUGUCUUCCAGCUUCACCUUGUCACGACAGUCCUCGCCAGGGACAGCUGAGGAUGGAAACCAGCCCUGCACACUGCUGGCUCUGGAGGCCUGGUAGAUUAACAGGCACCGGACUUACAAUUGGUCUCUUAAGCCUUUCAACUCUUUAGAAGCAAAGGGGAAGGCAUGGAGGGUGCCAUGAAAUCAAAGACAUUGUUCGUAAGCUCCUGGAUCUUAUCAGUGUGAGGAAGUGUUCAAAAAAGUUCUGUCCCCCCUAGAGACAAAAAGCAUCUACAUCUCCAUUUAUGCCGUGUGCACGCAGUACCAACAGAGGUCAGAGGAGGGUGUCGGAUCCCCUGGAACUGGAGUCACAGAUUCUUCCUUGCGUGGAUGAAACAGUCCCAACGAACACUUUAAAAAGACAAAUGUUCCCGACAGCACUGGUUGAAUUCAAAACUCGGCAGAUCCAUGUUCUUAUCCUUAGACAAGAGAGGGGCCAUAACAAGAUGGAAUGACGGAACAGACGUGAGAGAUGAUGGUACAGUGACUCGGGUAACCCCAGAAAAGGGACAGCUCUUCUACAGCUCAGUGGGGACAGGGACAAAAAGAAACAAUUUCAUUUCAGUCCACCCAGAGGGUCUGCACUUCUCGGAGCCAGAAGGUGGAGAAGAGUAGGGAUGGAGGAAGUUCGAAGUUUUAGGAGUCUGCUCUUGGGUCCCUAGGCAUGAGGACAAGCUUUUCCUGUACUCAAUGCUCAUCUCUCAGUUGUGCCCACAUUGGUACACAUUACUUGCUUUCAACUGCUGCUGCUGCUGUUUCCUAAUUCAAUAAAGAUAUGGCUGGCUCAGCAGAGAGCUGUCAUCCA
rnacentral:lncRNA from 1 species